GACGAACGCUGGCGGCGUGCCUAAUACAUGCAAGUCGAGCGGAAGUUGAAGAGCUUGCUCUUCAACUUUAGCGGCGGACGGGUGAGUAACACGUGGGCAACCUGCCCUGCAGAUCGGGAUAACUCCGGGAAACCGGUGCUAAUACCGAAUAGUUUUCGCCACCUCCUGGUGGCGUACGGAAAGACGGUUUCGGCUGUCACUGCAGGAUGGGCCCGCGGCGCAUUAGCGAGUUGGUGGGGUAACGGCCCACCAAGGCGACGAUGCGUAGCCGACCUGAGAGAGUGAUCGGCCACACUGGGACUGAGACACGACCCAGACUCCUACGGGAGACAGCAGUAGGUGAUCUUCCGCAAUGGACGAAAGUCUGACGGAGCAACGCCGCGUGAGUGACGAAGGUUUUCGGAUCGUAAAACUCUGUUGUGAGGGAAGAACAAGUACCAACUAACUACUGGUACCUUGACGGUACCUCACCAGAAAGCCACGGCUAACUACGUGCCAGCCGCCGCCGUAAUAC
rnacentral:rRNA from 1 species